CAAUCACAUACCUUAUUUUACUAUUUAAGCAUCAACAAAGAGGAGCCAUUUACGAUUCACUCAAAAGCUCAAUCUACCAAAAGAAACAAAAACUAUGAAGGAUGUAAUACGGGUUUGUCGUCCAAGUCUACCUGCAAUGCAAUUGAUUAGGUCUAUGAAUCUAUGAUCACCGACGAUUAUUUGUAACAUAUCAAGGAGCAUGCGAAAGAAACUUCCAAUUUUUUAUAAGAGUACAACCUAUAAUUUCACUAAUCUAUAACUUACAAUGAAUUCUGUUCUCCAAAUCUUACAUGAACUCAAUUCACACACAUUACGUGAAUUUUGUUCAUAUACCGCCUGUAAAUCCAGAAUUUAGGUUGUUCAUAAACUCAAUUUAUGUACACUUAUGUGAAUCGAGUUCGUGCAAGUCUUGCAAA
rnacentral:lncRNA from 1 species